UCCAUAGAGUCUCAGAUGGUAAAGAAUCUGCCUGCAAUGCAGGUGACCUGGGUUCGAUACCUGGAUCUGGAA
rnacentral:tRNA from 1 species